rnacentral:tRNA from 1 species
GCGGACGUGGUGAAACUGGUAGACACACAGGACUUAAAAUCCUGUGGGGGUAACCCCGUGCGGGUUCGAGUCCCGCCGUCCGCACCA